AUGUUUUGGCACAAUGUUUGUGACCGUAGUAGUGGUCUGAUAUAGUGACUGGAAGUGUGAUGUGUGAUGCUAAAAACAAACUACACGCUGUUUUCAGGUAACGUUACUUUUUGACUUUUGUACUCCUCAACUAUUUAGUCCAUGCAUCAGAUUUUGAUUUGACGGUUAUUCGCCAACAAAAUGUCCCGUUUGUGCAACACUUUUAAAAGCCAAACCAACAUUCAGCAGGGAGGUUUGCUCACUGAUAAAAAUAAUACAUGCUCUGUAUGCAGUCUGCAGCUUACAUCAGGGGAUGAUUAGGAGGAGCAAACACACAACCGGUUUUAUUUACUGUUAUGAGAAUUGAAUUUGAAGAUUUUUUAUUUAUGACACUUAACAGCUAAAUCACCUAAUAUUUUUUUAGGCAAAAGAAAAAGAGGGAUGUUUCAUAACGGUGACUCAGGUCUUAUUGUGAAAAGUAUGUCAUGAAAGAGCUUUAUAAACUAAACCUCCUCCCUGUUUUGGUUGUUUAUAGAGUUGUCAGUCACUGGUGAGGAAGGGGAUGUUGACGAUGACACAGAGCUACCAGCACCAUCACCACAGGCCUGCAGCUCGCCGGUACCAUCUGCCUCCGUGUCAUCACGGCAAGCCAGACGAGGAAAAAGACAGCGUGAAAAUGAGGGGCUGUUGGAGUACAUGGAGAAGGCUGAGGAUAAGUUCUUGCAGCUCAACAAGGACAUGACAGCAAAGAUGGAGGCAGACACAAGUGCUCUGCUUGGGCUCAUGGGGCGCAUGGUGGCAGUGAUGGAGGCGCAAGCAAAAAUAUAGACUAUGUUUUAAUUUAAUUAACAUGUUAUUUAUUUAUUAUUUGAUUGUUUAUGCCAAUAAACAAAUGUUUUUAUAUUU